GACGAACGCUGGCGGCGUGCUUAACACAUGCAAGUCGAACGGUGAAGCGCCUUCCUUUUUGGUGGGUGUGGAUGAGUGGCGAACGGGUGAGUAACACGUGAGUAACCUGCCCCCUUCUUCUGGAUAACCGCAUGAAAGUGUGGCUAAUACGGGAUAUUCUGGGUCUGUCGCAUGAUUGGUCUGGGAAAGAUAUUGUUUCGGUGGGGGAUGGGCUCGCGGCCUAUCAGCUUGUUGGUGGGGUGAUGGCCUACCAAGGCGGUGCCGGGUAGCCGGCCUGAGAGGGUGAUCGGUCACACUGGGAUUGAGAAACGGGCCAGACUCCUACGGGAGGCAGCAGUGGGGAAUACUGCACAAUGGGCGCAAGCCUGAUGCAGCGACGCCGCGUGAGGGAUGGAGGCCUUCGGGUUGUGAACCUCUUGCGCCAGUGAAGCAGGCCUGCCUCGUUUGUGGGUGGGUUGACGGUAGCCGGAUAAGAAGCGCCGGCUAACUACGUG
rnacentral:rRNA from 1 species